rnacentral:rRNA from 1 species
GACGAACGCUGGCGGCGUGCCUAAUACAUGCAAGUAGAACGCUGAAGAGAGGAGCUUACUCUUCUUGGAUGAGUUGCGAACGGGUGAGUAACGCGUAGGUAACCUGCCUUGUAGCGGGGGAUAACUAUUGGAAACGAUAGCUAAUACCGCAUAACAAUGGAUGACACAUGUCAUUUAUUUGAAAGGGGCAAUUGCUCCACUACAAGAUGGACCUGCGUUGUAUUAGCUAGUAGGUGAGGUAAUGGCCCACCAAGGCGACGAUCCAUAGCCGACCUGAGAGGAGGUCCGCCCAAACUGGAACUGAGACACGCCCAAGCCCCCUAGGGGAGGCAGAGGUGGGGAAUUUUGGACAAUGGGCGCAAGCCUGACCAAGCACUCCGGGGGGGGUGAAGAAGGUCUCGGGUUGGAAAAGCCCGUUGGUAGUGAAAGAAAAGUGGGAGGGUAAAAAGUUCACGCUGUGACGGUACCUAAAGAGAAAGCACCGGCUAACUACGUG